rnacentral:rRNA from 1 species
ACGAACGCUGGCGGCACGCUUAACACAUGCAAGUCGAACGAGAGAAGAGAAGCUUGCUUUUCUGAUCUAGUGGCGGACGGGUGAGUAACACGUGAGCAAUCUGCCUUUCAGAGGGGGAUACCGAUUGGAAACGAUCGUUAAUACCGCAUAAUAUAAUUGAACCGCAUGAUUUGAUUAUCAAAGAUUUAUCGCUGAAAGAUGAGCUCGCGUCUGAUUAGCUAGUUGGUAAGGUAACGGCUUACCAAGGCGACGAUCAGUAGCCGGACUGAGAGGUUGAUCGGCCACAUUGGGACUGAGACACGGCCCAGACUCCUACGGGAGGCAGCAGUGGGGAAUAUUGCACAAUGGAGGAAACUCUGAUGCAGCGAUGCCGCGUGAGGGAAGAAGGUUUUAGGAUUGUAAACCUCUGUCUUCAGGGACGAAAAAAGACGGUACCUGAGGAGGAAGCUCCGGCUAACUACGUGCCAGCAGCCGCGGUAAUACGUAGGGAGCGAGCGUUGUCCGGAAUUACUGGGUGUAAAGGGAGCGUAGGCGGGAUCGCAAGUCAGAUGUGAAAACUAUGGGCUUAACCCAUAAACUGCAUUUGAAACUGUGGUUCUUGAGUGAAGUAGAGGUAAGCGGAAUUCCUAGUGUAGCGGUGAAAUGCGUAGAUAUUAGGAGGAACAUCAGUGGCGAAGGCGGCUUACUGGGCUUUAACUGACGCUGAGGCUCGAAAGCGUGGGGAGCAAACAGGAUUAGAUACCCUGGUAGUCCACGCCGUAAACGAUGAUUACUAGGUGUGGGGGGACUGACCCCUUCCGUGCCGCAGCAAACGCAAUAAGUAAUCCACCUGGGGAGUACGACCGCAAGGUUGAAACUCAAAGGAAUUGACGGGGGCCCGCACAAGCAGUGGAGUAUGUGGAUUAAUUCGAAGCAACGCGAAGAACCUUACCAGGUCUUGACAUCGUAUGCAUAGCUCAGAGAUGAGUGAAAUCUCUUCGGAGACAUAUAGACAGGUGGUGCAUGGUUGUCGUCAGCUCGUGUCGUGAGAUGUUGGGUUAAGUCCCGCAACGAGCGCAACCCUUACUGUUAGUUGCUACGCAAGAGCACUCUAGCAGGACUGCCGUUGACAAAACGGAGGAAGGUGGGGAUGACGUCAAAUCAUCAUGCCCCUUAUGACCUGGGCCUCACACGUACUACAAUGGCUGUCAACAGAGGGAUGCAAAGCCGCGAGGUGGAGCGAACCCCUAAAAGCAGUCUUAGUUCGGAUUGUAGGCUGCAACCCGCCUACAUGAAGUCGGAAUUGCUAGUAAUCGCAGAUCAGCAUGCUGCGGUGAAUACGUUCCCGGGCCUUGUACACACCGCCCGUCACGCCAUGGGAGUCGGUAACACCCGAAGCCUGUAGUCUAACCGCAAGGAGGACGCAGUCGAAGGUGGGAUUGAUGACUGGGCUG